GGGAAUCUACCCAGAUCUACGGAACAACAGAGGGAAACUUCUGCUAAUACCGUAUACGCCCUACGGGGGAAAGAUUUAUCGGAUUUGGAUGAGCCCGCGUAAGAUUAGCUAGUUGGUGAGGUAAUGGCUCACCAAGGCGACGAUCUUUAGCUGGUCUGAGAGGAUGAUCAGCCACACUGGGACUGAGACACGGCCCAGACUCCUACGGGAGGCAGCAGUGGGGAAUAUUGGACAAUGGGCGCAAGCCUGAUCCAGCCAUGCCGCGUGAGUGAUGAAGGCCUUAGGGUUGUAAAGCUCUUUCAGUGGGGAAGAUAAUGACGGUACCCACAGAAGAAGCCCCGGCUAACUUCGUGCCGGCAGCCGCGGUAAUACGAAGGGGGCUAGCGUUGUUCGGAUUUACUGGGCGUAAAGCGCACGUAGGCGGUUUGUUAAGUCAGAGGUGAAAUCCUGGAGCUCAACUCCAGAACUGCCUUUGAUACUGGCAAGCUCGAGUCCGGAAGAGGUAAGUGGAACUCCUAGU
rnacentral:rRNA from 1 species